AAGGGGGUCUUUACCUCAGUACGGCGAGUGAUGCGGUAAAAGCUCAAAUUUGAAAUCUGGCUCUUUCAGAGUCCGAGUUGUAAUUUGUAGAAGAUGCUUCGGGUGUGGUUCCGGUCUAAGUUCCUUGGAACAGGACGUCAUAGAGGGUGAGAAUCCCGUAUGUGACUGGAUACCUAUGCUCAUGUGAAGCUCUUUCGACGAGUCGAGUUGUUUGGGAAUGCAGCUCAAAAUGGGUGGUAUAUUUCAUCUAAAGCUAAAUAUUGGCCAGAGACCGAUAGCGCACAAGUAGAGUGAUCGAAAGAUGAAAAGCACUUUGGAAAGAGAGUUAAACAGUACGUGAAAUUGUUGAAAGGGAAGCGCUUGCAAUCAGACUUGCACUUGGUGUUCAUCAGGGUUUCGUGCCCUGUGUACUUCAUCAAGUUCAGGCCAGCAUCAGUUUGAGUGGUUAGAUAAAGGCUUGGAGAACGUGGCCCUCUUCGGGGGGUGUUAUAGCUCCAGGUGCAAUGUAGCCUACUUGGACUGAGGACCGCGCUUCGGCUAGGAUGCUGGCGUAAUGGUUGUAAGCGACCCGUCUUGAAACCACGGACCA
rnacentral:rRNA from 1 species